rnacentral:lncRNA from 1 species
CCAAGCCUAUCUCCUAUCUAGUCUCUACCAUUUGUUUCUCUCUGUCUCUUUCUCUUGCAGACACAUGGUAUUUCUUCUUCCUCUCUCUCUAACCCCAUUUGCUCUCCCUAUCACAACACCAUAAUCCAGGGCCGGGCAGAGCAAAGCAGCCACAGCAGUCAUGUCCUUAGCAAUCCAUAAUACAGCAUGUUUGCUGACAAAAUGAAUGUGGAGUACAGUUAGGCAACAGGAAAUUAACAGCUGACCCCAGAGGUCAGGAAAGAGGGUGUACAAAAACUGAAAUGUGCUUCUGCUUCCCCAUGCCACAAAGGCUGAAUGGGGAGACUAGACCUCCUCCUGACUAGGCAGUAACGAGGGGUCCCAACAUCCCCAGCUGGGUGGUAACAGAGAAGGCCAAGUAGGAGCCAGGACUUGCAUCCCAGCCAUUACAGGUGCUCUCCCUGACCUUGCAGUGUUAGUGGAGACCACGUGGGGAGCUGAAACUUGCACCCUGUCCAACAGUAACAGGGAAUCCCCCUCUUAAGU